GAUGAACGCUGGCGGCGUGCCUAAUACAUGCAAGUCGAGCGAACGGACGAGAAGCUUGCUUCUCUGAUGUUAGCGGCGGACGGGUGAGUAACACGUGGAUAACCUACCUAUAAGACUGGGAUAACUUCGGGAAACCGGAGCUAAUGCCGGAUAAUAUUUUGAACCGCAUGGUUCAAAAGUGAAAGACGGUCUUGCUGUCACUUAUAGAUGGAUCCGCGCUGCAUUAGCUAGUUGGCAAGGUAACGGCUUACCAAGGCAACGAUGCAUAGCCGACCUGAGAGGGUGAUCGGCCACACUGGAACUGAGACACGGUCCAGACUCCUACGGGAGGCAGCAGUAGGGAAUCUUCCGCAAUGGGCGAAAGCCUGACGGAGCAACGCCGCGUGAGUGAUGAAGGUCUUCGGAUCGUAAAACUCUGUUAUUAGGGAAGAACAUAUGUGUAAGUAACUGUGCACAUCUUGACGGUACCUAAUCAGAAAGCCACGGCUAACUACGUG
rnacentral:rRNA from 1 species